rnacentral:tRNA from 1 species
GUUAGUGUGGCAGAACCUGGUUAAUGCAAAAGGUCUAAGCCCUUUCUACAGAGGUUCAAAUCCUCUUCUUAACU